AAAAACAAUCACGAUUGUUUUUGGAAAAGGAAGAAAGCAAUAUCGUUGUUUCUUCACUACCGAAACAAAACUCCAAAAUUCAGUAACCUAUUAAUUUGAGUCUGUGUGGACGAACUAGAGGCCUGACGUGUGGAAGGCUUAUUGCUGGAAUUCAAACAUCUACAUCAGGCAUCGCAUAUUCGUCUAAACAAGUAAGUACUUAUUUGUUUUGAAAUAUGAAGGCCUGAAUCAAAUUGCAACUUCAAGCAAGAAGAACAAAACUAAACUGUUUGCUCAUUCCGCUGCGCAAAUAAUUUUCUUUCACAUGGCACAUACUUUUGCACAUCUUGAUUAAUCGCCAUAACCGUAGAUGUUUUCCGUGUAUUUUCCAUUAUGGAUAAAAACUAAAUUUAUGUGGAUAUUUUGAAAGCUUAUGAGAUUGUAUUAUUAUGCACAAGCACAGAGGGUUGAGACAUUUACCCAAAACAAAGUAUACCUUAGUUUUGUCAUCUUUACCAGCAUGGAGAACCUUCCCUCCCUCAGUUAUGGAGUCAGGAUCAUAGCUACUAGAGAAUCAAGCAGUUGGACUGUUUUUUUCCGGAACUGCUCUUCUGAUAUUUCGAGAUCAAAAUCUAUGGACCAAGACACCAGGCAAAGUAAAAUUUGAUGCAGCAAAUUUGCGAAAUGAUUUAAUUUGACAUUUAGUUGGAAAGUUAACAAAAGAUUACAAUAUAACGUUACACAUUGUUUAGCUCCUAAGGUCACCUGGUAAAGAAUUAGUCUUUCCAUUUUGGGCUAAACCAAACCACAUUUUUUAUUCAGACGACGUUUUUUAUUCACACACUAAUCAAAUAUCAAAGGAGGAUAACUUAGCAGAGUCUCUUGCACCAUGGUUGAGGUUCUCCAGACCACAUCUUUAUUGCCCGUUAGUCAUUGGCUAAUCCACCUAGCUUAGUAUUAUUGGUAGCACGACAGAAACAAUUUCAGGCAAAGUUUGACAGUUGCUGUUUUACAUCUAUCAUCAAGUUGCCAAGAGUUGCUGGAAUGGUCUUUUGGGCCCUAAAAACAUUCAUUUAAACCACAACAGAGUCUACUAUGCAAGGUAAUAUCCAGAAUGCACUAUUGGAUGAGCAAAUAUAAUCAAUUUAUUCCAUGAAACAGAAAAUGCUAGAGAAGUAACCUUGAAAUACUGACAUUUUAUAUGGACCUCAAUAACCACAUACUUACAUAUAUAUUUACGGAUAUUUUUGUCUUACAAGCAGUGUGUGGAGAAAACAAACCAAAAUUAAGGAUGAGACCAACGCAAAUCAAGAAAACAAACCAAAAUCUAGGAUAAGUCUAUGGUAAUAGAACGUUUACAAAUGCAACAGUGAAGAGACUCAAUCCCAUGUGCACUUGAUCUGGUGAGGGUGUUUGAAAUCAUAUGUCAUUAGCAAACUUCCAUCCAUUCUCUUAAACACAAAACUCUCAACCAAAACAAAACAUCCAAAUUCUCUCCACUCACCCUUUUCUCCAGAGUAUUCUAUCCGUUCCACCCUCACUUGCCUUUCGUUCCCACCUAGCCAUCCAGCUCUUUCUUGCUCCCAUUUCAUCCUUUGAACUAAUUCUAUGCUCAGACCAACUGUCGCUUCCUCUCCAGCUCUCCCAAAACUCUUAAACCAUAUUGUUCCUUCAACAACAUUUUUCUCAUCCCACACAGCUUUGUUGCCAGCAAUGUAGACAGCUUCUCGAUCAAUGGUGACAUCUAUGGACACAGACUUCGCCUCAUGAUAGAUAUUCUGUGUUGAAUAUACCUGCUCCCACUUUUGCUCCAGAGUCACCUGAUAAAACAUUGAUCUUUUCAUCUGAUCUUUCACUAUCCCAUCUUUGAUAAACAGAAAAGGGCUAUACCAUUUCCCUACUACAACAGCUUCAGAACUCUUAUACGAUGGUGGUACACUGAAUUCAGGAAGGCGGGCUCGUAGAGUAGCAUUGAGACCAGGAGCUUCGUCUAAUUUGUAGUGUUUUGGAGUUUUAGUGCGAACUGACCACCCUUUUCUUCUCAAGAAAUAGGGAGGAAAACCAUCAGGCGCAACAGAUUUAGCAUAAAAGUAACCCCUGCCAGCGCAAGGUGUUUCACGAACAAAAACCUCAAAUUGUUGGUAAAUGUUCUUUGGAUCAAAUGGCCUUGGUUUAAUAUCUUUAACACAACGACAGAAACAGCAGGUGGUCAUGUCUUCUUCCCUAGAACAAGCCACGGCUUGCCUGAAAUAAUGAGGAGGAGAUUAAUUAGGAAAUGCUCCGUGACAAACCAAUCAGAUUAAGGAACAAAUUAGUGGCAUACUGUAGGAAAGCAUUAACAUGCAAUUAUUAGUUCUUCAGGUUCUGGAUUGAGAACUUUUAGAUGUGAAGAUAGCUGUUUCAAGUUUUCUGCAGAGGCUAGAGCGUAAUACAAGUGAUGAAUGCAGUUAAGUCGCAAUUUGUCAACCAAAAUUGUUUUAUUAAAAUUGAUUUUGUUCAUCAAAAUUCUCUUCCUGCUGUAAAAUUAUGCUGACUUUGUUUUCUGGAACUUUGCAUCUCCUUUUAAACUUAGCCUGCUUGAAGACUAGUUGAAUUAUAUUCAGGCCACUCAAUUCCAAGGUUUCGAAGUGCAUGAUUCUGGUAUAGUUCUUUUCAGUUGAAGCUCAUUCUCUAUUUCAAAGAAGAAUCAGUUCCUAACCAGUCAUUUAAAACUGAACUAAAAAACAAGCUCAUCAAAACAUAAACAUAAGUUAAAACCAGAAGAAGGACCUUUUUGAUACAUACCCUUUGUGAUCAUUUAAAACUGAAGUAAAAAACAAGCUCAUCAAAACAUAAAUAUAAGUUAAACAAGAAGAAGGACCUUUUCGAUACAUACCCUUUGUGAUUUCCAUGUGGCUUGAUGACAUAGUAGCGAUUCGAAGACAAAGGAAGGUUGAGAACUGGAAUGAAGACAGCAUCAUUAAGGGAAACAUGUUGGCUCUCACCACUACUUUGUACGUAGCGAACUGUCAAGUCCUUGUUCUGAGGAAACGGCAGAUCCCUCAGGGUUCGAUUCUUGCACAAUCCAAAACAAGAAUAUGUCUCCGAUUCUUCAUCUUGAAUUACCAAGUAUCCGGAAUUUGGACCCUCCGGGGGUAAUGAAAGUGCAUCUGGAUUCUUUGUGUACUCAGAAAGUGGCCUUGCAACAUACAUAUUUCCCAAAUUUUCUUCCCCAGUCCUCCUGUGUUAGUCUAUUUAUUGAUGUUUACAGAUGUUUGACAAGUCGUAUUUGCAAAUACCAUAUCCCUCUCUGUCUCUAUAUGUAUAUCUACAAGAGGAUAAGGUGGGAACAUUUAGAAUCUUCAGUAUACAACCAAGGAAGUUUUUUUUUUUUUUUUUUUUUUUUGAAGGAACUAAGGAAGUUCACACUUGACAAAAUAAUAUCCUAAUGGCAAAGAUGGGUUAGAAAUCAACCAACCUGGAAAAGUUGAACAAGUUAGCUAGCCAGACAACAAGCUGACCAGUGCUGAAUCUGUUUGCAGAUACAAUUUCCUCGUUGAUUCCAGGAAAGUUACCCGGGAUCAGCUUAUAUUUGGAGCCAAAACCUUGAAAACAAGAAGUUUAUGCAGAUUCAAGUUUUACUGUUUUGCAGAUAAACAAUGUCCGGCAACAUUUGCUAAUUAUUUUUUGACAACGUCAAGAAAAUUAAACAGAUUAUCUUUUGUCAAACGUGUAGCCGUGUACUCGAGAAAAUUUGACGGACUCUAACAUGACGGCAACAGCCAGAUUUUAGCUAGUGUUACAGAAGAUAUUAAAAAAUUGUCAAGGUUAAGAUGUUAUAGUUUAUCUGCAUUCUUCUUUUACACGCAGGAAGCCAAGAAGUCUUUGCUAAUUAUUUUAAGGUUGACCCGUAACUGAUAUUUCUCGUAGCUGGUCGAGCCUCUGAACAAACAGACGAAAGAAACCACUACCAAGAAGGCUUGAACAAACAGUAAAAACUUCUAUUCCAGUCUCGUGUAAUUUUGGGCCUGGAUAUUUGGUUAUGUUCUUUUUUUAUCUGAGUACCCCUGUAGGGGUGGGCUGCUUUGGGUUCUAAGGUUAGACGGCAAUCAUGUUAUCAUUUAGGGGUGGGCUGCAAAACACCCAUUUGGCCUGUUGGGCCAUGUACAAAGUAGUUGGCGAGAAAAUAUCUAUGUAUAUCUACAUGUUUUUUGUCCAUUUUAUAUGGAAUCUCAUCCAACAGAACACAUAAUUGUGGAUUUCUGGGGACAGGAUCAUAUGUUUAUGCAUCUUGCUGAGAUUUAUGAUUUUUUAUGCCUGAUGAAAAUGACAAUUUUGGCAGUUUCUUUAUAUUUCAAAGUCGAAAGUCAUUGUCUGAUGAUCAAUUUCUUUCGUGCGUAGCGUGUUAGAACUUUUACAGGAUUGCCUCUUAGCUGCUACAUGCCACCUGAGUUCUGGGCUGCUUGAAGAAAUUAAACAAAAGAGGAUGUUGUUAGUAUGUUGGACUGGGAUAAUGCUAAUUUGACAGAAGAACUCAGCUGAAGAAAAACAUUUGUUAGGCAUGAAAAUGUACUGGAACUGAACUUAGUUAUUAUUCUAUUCAUAUACAUAAGAUUCACAAAGUUCAAAGAAAUAACACCAAAGCAAAAUCCCUUAGUUAUUUGUGUUCAUUUUUCUAGGAAAAAGGUAGACUGCAAGGCGAUACAGGAGAGACUGAAUUAGUAAAGAGGAAUACUAAGUAAAAACAGUACAUUCAUACAACAGAGUGGAGACAGUAGAUUCUCUAUUUACUAUUGAUUGACGACCAUUCUAUAGUCUUCUGUUAAAUUCUCCUUUUUCAAGAUUUGAAUAUAACAAUUUCUUCUUUCUUACUUGCGUUUGAUCUCCUACCAGAAUAUUGCUUGGAAAACCAUUUCCAAACCUUGUAGCUAUUAGUCCCCCUCUUUAGUCCUCCUCUGUCAUUCACAGCAAUUCUGCAAG
rnacentral:lncRNA from 1 species